rnacentral:lncRNA from 1 species
UGAGUUAUCCAUUGUCCCAUAGCUGUUGUAUGAGCUAUACUACUGCUGCAGGCUGAGAGAUAGCUGCAGCUGCAUUGCAGUGGUGCAAGUCCCUUUGGAUAAUACAAUUUCAUCAUGUAUCUUUACUUGCUGUAGCAGAUUGGCCUUCUGUAUUGGAUUUUAUUAUUGUAAUGUUAGAUUAUGUUAUAUUCCCUUGGCAGAAUGCAUUAUUGCAAGUAUCCUGACAUGUAAAAAGCAUGCCAACAAGAUUCUCUUUUAAGAACAACCUCUGUAUCAGAUACUGCCUUGAGUUCCCUUAUCAUUCUGCAUAAUCAUACAGUGUCAUAUGAUUGACAAAAAGUACAGAAUCUUUAUACUAAUUUCAGUGGCAAGACAACUGAAGAAAGGACAGGAUUAAUAGAGAGGUUGUUUCUACAUCAACAGAGAAGCAACCACUGAUAUCAAAGUCAAGCUGGUCAAAGAUCAUGACUAAGAUUCUGAUCUGCUUAUAGUAGAAAUUCCUAAGUUAUUUGUAGAUAGAAAUUCCUAUAAUACAACACUGUUGCAGAAGAUACUGGAGAAUAUCUGAAGGUCCUUCAUACAAAUAAUAAUAAAUAAAAUAUAUAUAUAUAUAUAUAUACAAAAUUAGUAGUUUUGUAAGUCUAAUAUUUUUACACCCUUUGUAUAUAAUUAGGGUUCAAAUAGCACAUGGUGUUUUUUUUUUUUCCUUUUUUUAUAUAAUUAUUUUUUAUUAAGAUUAUUCUAAAAUGAGGACCAAAAGGUAAGUCCAAUCCUAGCCAAAAGACAAAAAUAUAUGAUGGGUCAAAUGGAUAAUGUAUUGUUGCAUAGGUGAUAGGUCUCACACUCGAGUUUAGCGUCAAACGAAAAAUUCUUCUGAUUUUGGAAAAAAAAUAAUUAGUCAAAGCAAUCAUUUGACAAGGAAAAUAAAUCUUAUAAAUAGUUCAGGGUCUCAUUUCCAUGUUGUGAGCCAUUUAGUCAAAGUGAAAGAGAGAGAGAGAGAGAGAGAGAGAGAGAGAGAGUUCAGCCUGUGCGAGUCUACUCUGUCUUUGUCGGUCGAGAGCAGAAGAAAGAACAAUUUAGAGGACGACAUGAAGCAACCUAAUGGUGUGCAGUUAAGAACAUUAGUAGAGAUGAUAUAAAAGACACGUCUCCUGGGGGGAAAAGUAGAGGAGACAUGAGUAUAUUUAGGUCGUACCUGCAUCGCGAGUUGGAUUUCGAAGGAGGAGGUGAGAUGCCUAUGUUGGAGAAGGAGAUCACAUGCAAAGAUGGAGACGUAGAGAGAGAGAGAGAGA